UAGAGUUUGAUCCUGGCUCAGGACGAACGCUGGCGGCGUGCCUAAUACAUGCAAGUCGAGCGCAGGAAGCCGUCUGAACCCUUCGGGGGGACGACGGUGGAAUGAGCGGCGGACGGGUGAGUAACACGUAAAGAACCUGCCCAUAGGUCUGGGAUAACCACGAGAAAUCGGGGCUAAUACCGGAUGUGUCAGCGGACCGCAUGGUCCGCUGAUGAAAGGCGCUCCGGCGUCGCCCAUGGAUGGCUUUGCGGUGCAUUAGCUAGUUGGUGGGGUAACGGCCCACCAAGGCGACGAUGCAUAGCCGACCUGAGAGGGUGAUCGGCCACACUGGGACUGAGACACGGCCCAGACUCCUACGGGAGGCAGCAGUAGGGAAUCUUCCACAAUGGACGAAAGUCUGAUGGAGCAACGCCGCGUGAACGAUGAAGGCUUUCGGGUCGUAAAGUUCUGUUGUAAGGGAAGAACAAGUGCCGCAGGCAAUGGCGGCACCUUGACGGUACCUUGCGAGAAAGCCACGGCUAACUACGUGCCAGCCGCCGCGGUAAUACA
rnacentral:rRNA from 1 species